rnacentral:rRNA from 1 species
UGGGGAAUUUUGCACAAUGGGGGAAACCCUGAUGCAGCGACGCCGCGUGAUUUAGAAGGCCUUCGGGUUGUAAAAAUCUUUUGUAUGGGAAGAAAAUGACAGUACCAUACGAAUAAGGACCGGCUAAUUACGUGCCAGCAGCCGCGGUAAUACGUAAGGUCCGAGCGUUGUCCGGAAUCAUUGGGGGUAAAGGGUACGUAGGCGGAUAAGCAAGUUAGAAGUGAAAUCCUCUAGCUCAACUAUAGUAAGCUUUUAAAACUGCUCAUCUUGAGGUAGGGAAGGGAAAGUGGAAUUCCUAGUGUAGCGGUGAAAUGCGCAGAUAUUAGGAGGAAUACCGGUGGCGAAGGCGACUUUCUGGCCAUAUACUGACACUGAGGUACGAAAGCGUGGGUAGCAAACAGG